rnacentral:rRNA from 1 species
UGGGGAAUAUUGCGCAAUGGGGGGAACCCUGACGCAGCCAUGCCGCGUGAAUGAAGAAGGCCUUCGGGUUGUAAAGUUCUUUCGGUGGUGAGGAAGGUUAGGAUGUUAAUAGCAUACUGAUUUGACGUUAGCCACAGAAGAAGCACCGGCUAACUCCGUGCCAGCAGCCGCGGUAAUACGGAGGGUGCGAGCGUUAAUCGGAAUAACUGGGCGUAAAGGGCACGCAGGCGGGACGUUAAGUGAGAUGUGAAAGCCCCGGGCUUAACCUGGGAACAGCAUUUCAUACUGGCGUACUAGAGUACUUUAGGGAGGGGUAGAAUUCCACGUGUAGCGGUGAAAUGCGUAGAGAUGUGGAGGAAUACCGAAGGCGAAGGCAGCCCCUUGGGAAGAUACUGACGCUCAUGUGCGAAAGCGUGGGGAGCAAACAGG